GUCUGCAUAGAUUAAUUUAAAUCGCGAUGCUGUUAACUUCGAGAAAGGAUACGUCCUUGCAGUCG
rnacentral:tRNA from 3 species